GAUCUCGCUCUGUAGACCAGGUUGGCCUUGAACUCACAGAGAUCCACCUGUCUCUGCCUCCUGAGUGCUGGGAUUAAAGGCGUGCACCACCACCACAGGCUGAAUGAACUUUCUUUCCUUCCCCCCCCUCACCACAGCUGAGGUUUGAACCCAGGGCCUAGGCAAGCACUCUACCCCUGAGCUAAACCCCCAACUCAUACUUUGCCUUUUGAGACAGUCUUUCCCUGAGACCUGGGGCUGGCCAUCAAGCUCUAGGGCUCUGCUUGUCACCGCUCCCCCAGCCCCUGGGUUACAAGAGUCUGUCCCCACACCUGGCUUCGUACUCAGGUGCUGCCAGUCAAAGCCAGGGCCCUCACCAGUGCCAGGCCAGGGAGGUCACUCAUCCAGUAAAGGCACUUGCUGGGCCCCACCUGGUAGAAGGAGAGAACUGAUUCCAGAACAUUGUCCUCUGACCUCCAUUCACAUGCUGUGGUAUGCACUCGUCCCCACCCAAUCAAUCAAUAAAUGUGACUUAUAAACAUUUUUUUAAGUGGAUGUCAUAGAGAAGCAAUUUUCCAGCCCUCUGGGAAUGUGUGGAGCUCUGAGGAAGCAUCGGCCAUGUCCCUUCCCUUCUAUGGCCUUCUGCAGCACAUCCUGUGGCCCAGUUCCCUUCCACAGAGUCCCCAUCGCUGGCGCUGUGGUCCCAUCCUCAUCACAGCUUGGAGAGCUGGGUCCUAGAGUCACGCAGACCCGGGUUGCCACUAGCUUAGCUGCGAGACUUCAGACAGGGCCCUGGACAUCACUGGCCUCUGUUUCCUCCUCUGGGAACUGAGGACCCAUCUCCAGUGAUGGCAGCCUAGACCAGCUGUGCUUAGCAAGCCUUCAGAAAGGCUGGAGGAACUCAUUCAUGGCUUAUCUUGGUGACAAGACACAGACUAAACUCAGCAAGAUUAAAGACAAGGACGCUGUGACACCACAGUGGAGUCCACAGAAGUCAAUAACCGGAAUGCUUUUCUUCCUUGUUGGAAGGCAUUGAUGUCUGGCGCUACGGCAGCCUUCUUGGCACUAUAUGGAGAAACUUCGACACAUGCCAUGAAGCAAAAAAGAGAAAGGGCUGGGGGGUUGAUGAUGCCACUGAGCUGACAGACAGACCCGGAAGCUUCCACCUCUAGGCUUCCUGUUCCUUAAGCCUCUGUUGAUCAUUCCGUUCCCUGUAGCCAAACUUUCCCUAAAGCAGACAAACAGAUUGAAUAGAAAUAUGGAGCUAGUACUUGAA